GGAGUGCAGAGCAGGCUGUUUUCCCAAACUCUGAAAGCAUUCUGCAGCAGGUUCAUUGGCAGCACAGCAGGGAUCUUGCAGCAUGCCUGUAACCUCAGAAAUGCUAUAUUCUGUGAACAAACUCUGAUACACACCGACACCCAGCAUGGAUGCAAUAUUACGCUAGUCUUCUCUACAAUGGAGAGAUCAGUGUGAAUUCAGCAACUGCUAGACUCUUCUGGCAGGUGAAUGAGCCAAAAUCUGGAGUUCCCAUCAGUUCUGAGGGAAAACAAGGGGGUGUUGCUAUUAUACUACAGAGAGAGAGAGAGGUUUCCGGUUUGACACAGACUCUGGAGAGGGACAGCCUGUGACCCAUGGUGACAAACUGAGUGAAGAAUUUCCUUGAUUUGGAUUCUUGUUUGUAUGGAUUUUCCUUAUCCCAGAAGAGGUGGAGUUUUUUAGUCUGUCAUGAUAACUAAACCAAUUUACCAGUGAGGGGAAAUGUCCAUGUUCUCAAGGUGAGAAGGUAAUGUUCCACGAUAUUGGUUUAAGUUAAGUCGAAAACUUAAUAUCCCCACUUAACUAGUCGAUGACAGAGAAUUUCACAAGAGGGGAAAAGACAUUUUAAAAGACCAUUAAAAUAUAUUUCUGUGCUUAAUGACUCUAGAGUCUGGGUAAUAGAGCAUUCAGUAUAUAUUCUGACUUUAACUCAGUUGUCAUGUUAACAGCUUUUAAGUUUGUAAAAUGUGUCAUUAUGAUUUAUUUUCUCUAAUGCCUGCCAGGUGCUUUCCAAACAGUUUAGAAGGACGGUCACUGCUCUGAGGAGCUUGGAAUCCCCAUCACCUCACAGGCAGCCACGUUCCCACUCACAAAGAGCCAUCCA